rnacentral:rRNA from 1 species
GCCUGGCGGCCGUAGCGCGGUGGUCCCACCUGACCCCAUGCCGAACUCAGAAGUGAAACGCCGUAGCGCCGAUGGUAGUGUGGGGUCUCCCCAUGCGAGAGUAGGGAACUGCCAGACA